CUCCGCAUAGGAGCUGGAGGGAGGACAUGCCACUGCUUUUGGGAGCUGCUUGAGGAAACAGAGUGACCAGUCUCAUGUUUGCAAUGGCUACCAACGAGAAGUCUUUUGCCAUGGGGUCACAGCCAGAUUGUAGUAAAGCUCUAAUGGAAGGCAAGCAGAACAUCCGACUUCAUGAAUAACCAUGUGUACCAGGAAAUAGCAAAGAAGCCUGGCAGUAUUGUGGAUUCAUUGGAUGGGUGACCAGUGCAUGGAACAAUUAAGCCACUCAAGAGUGAUUAUCAUAAAGUCAGGAAUGAGAACCACACCUCUGGCAACUCCCUGUCAUCCUGCCUCUUUUACAAGGAGUUUGACUAGGUGCUGGGUACUGUGUGAAGCAUGAGCCAACAGCAAUUCAAAGUAGCCUGAUCAGCUGCGCUGGUGAUCUUCUGACCCCAGAAACUAAUAUAGAACCAGAGGGGGCCUGGCAGGUGCUAAAUCAGGCUAAUGAAGUGACUCUGGUGCUCACAUCGAUCCCCAAGGAGGCUUUGCCACUGGAGCAGCUGCAGCGUGUCCUGGGUCCAUACUCAGAGGAGCUGUUUGAUAACCUCCAGGAGGAGCAGCCUGUCAUGGAGUCAGCAGCAGAAGCAGAAGAGGCAGAAAUAGCCUUGGAGCUUGUUGAGUUUCUGGACCUGUAUUUAUUGUUAUUAGCAUAAGAAUGGGAGGGAUUUACGGUUUAUGACCCAGUGCAAAAUUUAGUACAAGACACAGGUCACAAUGUGUAUCCGUUAAUGGCGGAAUGCAUGCCAGCACCUUGGUGUCACCUUACCACCACCAUGUAGAAUUCAGAAUGGAUCCCAGGGUGUGCAAACAACAGUUAAAUAAGCAUUUACAUUUUAUUUUGUACUUGAUACUCGUGUGUGCCAGGGUGUUAAAAGUAAGACCCUUA